GUGCAAGGACUGGAGUCGGAGGCGGAGUGACAAACGACGGUGCCAACGGCAGUUGGUCUAAUGACAUUUAUAAUUAUUCUCAUUCAACAACGGGGAGACUAUUUUCCCCUCGAGAUCCUAACACGCACUAAACAGGAAAUUCCCACACGUGUAAACGGUCCCACCGGAACUAUGUAACGUGAACUUAGGUUCCGGGUGAAUUAUGUCAACCCACUACAAAGCUAGUAUAAAGUUAACUA